AAAUUCCAGGCAGAAGGAUAGGAUACUGUAUGCAGAGUCACUGUAGGUCAUCUUGCACAAUAUUUUUCAUAUGCUGGUCAAAUAAGAACUGGCCUGCCAGGUUCAUCCCCAGUGGGGGGACAAGUGGUUCACGGCUCAGCUCUGGACACUGAGGGUGCAUUUGGAGUGUGCUAAUCUUUAAGAGUUUAAGAAAUCCUCUACACAUUCAUUUCACAAUACUGCCAAAUUCACAGCUUUUUUAGAUCUCUCAUCAUUUACUUAAUUUAGGACCGUUGUCAGAUGUUGUUGUGUCAUAUUAUUCUGUUUCUUUGCGACCAUCAGAAUCUAGCCAAGAUCUAGCAAAACACCUCCAGGGGACCAUGAAACAACACUUCACAAGCUUAAUUUGGAGAUAGGCCCAUGGGUCCUGUGGAGGGCAUCUGCCAAUGGAACAAGACAAAUUACACUAGCAACUCCGUCUGGCAGCUUGGGCG